rnacentral:snRNA from 1 species
CUUUAAAAUAUAAAAGAUUUGU